CCUACGGGUGGCAGCAGUGGGGAAUAUUGGGCAAUGGGCGCAAGCCUGACCCAGCAACGCCGCGUGAAGGAAGAAUGCUUUCGGGUUGUAAACUUCUUUUCUUGGGGACGUAGAAUGUUACGGUACCCAAGGUAUAAGCGACGGCUAACAAUGGGCCAGCAGCAGCGGUAAUACGGAGGUGGCAAGCGUUAUCCGGAUUUAGUGGGUGUAAAGGGGGCGCAGGCGGAAGCGCAAGCCAGGAGUGAAAGCCUGCGGCCCAACCGCGUGACUGCAGUUGAAACUGCGAGGCUGGAGUGCAGGAGAGGCAGGCGGAAUUCGUGGUGUAGCGGUGAAAUGCUUAGAUAUCAGGAAGAACACCGGUGGCGAAGGCAGCCCACUGGACUGCGACUGACGUUGAGGCCCGAAAGCGUGGGGAGCAAACAGGAUUAGAUACCCUAGUAGUC
rnacentral:rRNA from 1 species